GAUGAACGCUAGCGGCAGGCCUAAUACAUGCAAGUCGAACGGUGUCUUCGGACAUAGUGGCGCACGGGUGCGUAACACGUAUGCAACCUACCUUACAUUGGGGGAUAGCCUUUCGAAAGGGAGAUUAAUACCGCAUAAGACAGUAGCUGGGCAUCCAGCAGCUGUUAAAGAUUUAUCGAUGUAAGCUGGGCAUGCGUCCAAUUAGCUAGUUGGUGAGGUAACGGCUCACCAAGGCAAUGAUUGGUAGGGGAACUGAGAGGUCAAUCCCCCACACUGGCACUGGGAUACGGCCAAGACUCCUACGGGGGGCAGCAGUAGGGAAUAUUGGGCAAUGGAGGGAAGGCUGACCCAGCCAUGCCGCGCGCAGGAUGAAGGCGUUAUGAGUUGUAAACUGCUUUUAUACAGGAAGAAACGACUCUUGCGAGAGGCAUUGACGGUACUGUAUGAAUAAGCACCGGCUAACUCCGUGCCAGCAGCCGCGGUAA
rnacentral:rRNA from 1 species